GUGUGAGGAUGUGCUGCUGAAGGCUGAUGAGGAGCUCAGCAACCUGAGGAACAAGCGCUCUCCAGAGUGAAGGACUGACAGGAGGAACAGACACAAACGCGUUACUUCUCACGCACUGCAUUCUCAUGUAACGCCGCAGUGACAGCGGAGGUAACGUUACUUCGUUACAGCUUUCUUCAGUAACGACGAACUGGGUCCACCCUGACGUCGCGUUGUGCUUCCUGAAGAAAGGAAAAGCCCUGAUGUGCUUGUCACCCGAGCUGAUGGCCGGGGCUGCGAGAUGGAGCCCGAAUGUCUUCACUCAGUCCCUCUUCAGACACUCAAAGGCCGCUCUGUUUCAGCCUGAUGACGAGCCGAUUGGAUAUAAUCUUGAGCGGCGGACUCAAGAGAUGGGGAGGGAUAGGGAAACGCUACAGUAGUCUUUGCAGGGAAGGAUCGUCUUUCUCCAGAAGUAGGAAACGAGCGUCGGAGGGUUUCUGCUGCCAGUCGGCUCGCUCCUCCUGUUAUGACACGGGACCAAAUUCAAACCAUGUGUCCUCGCACCCGGUUAGCUGCUUUUGCCCACCUCUAGCAUUAGCAGUCUGGACGGAUCCAUUUCACUGCCCCUCUCCCGUGCGGCGUUCUCAUUCUCCCAGCCCCAAAUGAGUCUCUCCGUGGGACUCCUGGCUUAAUAGACUGGAACUUUCCAAUGUCCGGUCUCCGAAGGUGGCUGUUAUCCUCCGAGGGCCCCUGUGCGAGUUUCAAGCUCAAGCUCAUGUUAUGGGCUGGACUAGGUGCACACCAGGAUGUCAGAUGUGAUGCUUCACACAGAUUUUCAUGGU